UACGUAGGGUGCUAGCGUUGUCCGGAUUUAUUGGGCGUAAAGAGCGUGUAGGCGGCCAUGUAGGUCCGGUGUGAAAACUCGAGGCUUAACCUCGAGAUGUCAUCGGAAACCAUUUGGCUAGAGUCCGGAAGAGGAGAGUGGAAUUCCUGGUGUAGCGGUGAAAUGCGCAGAUAUCAGGAAGAACACCCGUGGCGAAAGCGGCUCUCUGGAACGGUACUGACGCUGAGACGCGAAAGCGUGGGGAGCGAACAGG
rnacentral:rRNA from 1 species